CAAUAGAUUUUUAAGUCCC
rnacentral:misc_RNA from 1 species